rnacentral:rRNA from 1 species
GACGAACGCUGGCGGCGUGCUUAACACAUGCAAGUCGAACGGAAAGGCCCUGCUUUCGUGGGGUUCCCGAGUGGCGAACGGGUGAGUAACACGUGAGUAACCUGCCCUUCAUUUUGGGAUAACUUCAGGAAACUGGGGCUAAUACCGGAUAGGAGCUCCUGCUGCAUGGUGGGGGUUGGAAAUUUUCGGCGGUCGGGGAUGGACUCGCGGCUUAUCAGCUUGUUGGUGGGGUAGUGGCUUACCAAGGCUUUGACGGGUAGCCGGCAUGAGAGGGUGACCGGCGACAAUGGGACUGAGAUACGGCCCAGUGUGCUACGGUAGGCAGUGGUGGCGAAUAUUAUACAGUGGGAGGACGCCUGAUGCGGCAACGUCGCGUGCGGGAUGACGUCCUUCGGGUUGUAAACCGCUUUCGGCUAUGACGAAGCGUGAGUGACGGUAAUGGGAAAAGAAGCACCGGCUAACUACGUG